ACCCUGCUGGAGUGCGGGGGGGACCUCCAGCCCCCUGGGGGGUCCCUGACUCUGCUCUGCCGCGGGAAUGGAUUCAAUUUUGGAGAAUUCGGGAUGGGCUGGUACCGCCAGAGUCCCGGGAAGGCGCUGGAUGCUGUUGCACGUAUCAGCAAGGAUGGCAGCGCCUACUACUCGCCGUCAGUCAAGGGCCGGGUCACGAUCUCCAGGGACAAUGGGCAGAGCUCGGUGACGCUGACCAUGAACAGCCUCAAGGACGAGGAUUCCGCCAUUUAUUUCUGUGUUAAAUCUGUUAAUACUGCACCGAUGAAAGAUCUGGCACAGAAAUCUGCGCUGGAAUCCUCGUCCUGGAGGCUGAGAUGGGAAAAACUCAAACCCCUGACCCAACUCUUGGCCGUUCCUCCAAAGCUUUGA